rnacentral:lncRNA from 12 species
CCCCGCCCGGCACGGACCGCAAUGAUUUAGAAGUUCAGGAAUCCCACGUGACGUCACGGAGGGUGAUGUAAUGCUUCUCUAAAUAGAACGUAUUGUAACCGUCCCUCAGUCCAACGUGGUUCCUCCGGCCGCGCUGCCGGUCCCGUCCCCGCCGCACCGGGCGCGAAGUUUUCAGGACGAUAAGCGCUGCAGGAGUGUAAGGGGAAUACUUGCUAAACUCUGCCUCCUCUAUUAUUUAUGUCCGAGCAUGUUAUCCACAGUUAUGCUUUUUCUUGAGAAGAAAGCAGCUCUGCAGAAGAAGAAGAAAGUCAGGGAGCAGCUA